rnacentral:lncRNA from 1 species
UGUGGGUCAUCAUGAUUACCAUGCAAGUACUUCAAAUCCAUGCCAUGAGUCAAUCAUAGCUAAAAAAAAGCGAGCUCGGGCAAUGGGUGCUGCUGCUUCUGCAGCUGUGCCUGAUUACGGCGGAGGAUGUGACGACUUUGUGGUGUCAUCUGAUCACCGGAAUGAAACCACUGUGUUAGUGGCUCAGCCUCAGGAUCCUGAUCCUGGUGCUAGUACGUCCAGACGCCCAGGCCAUGUGUCGCCGCGAGAAAUGAAGAGAAGAGCUCGUGCAAUGAAAUAGUGUCACUGCUGCAGCUGCACCUGAUUCCGGCUGAGGGCGUGGUGACGAGGCGGCUGUUGAGAAUGAAGAGAAGAAGGAAGGAGCUGGUGAAGCGGACUUGGAGGUGAUUGACGUAGAGUGACAGUGAGAUAGAGUACUGAAAUAAAUAUGUUGAAUAAGAGUUGGAAUAUCUAGUUCAGUUGGUGAUAGACCUCGGGAAUUUAGUGGAGAAAAGAAGCUAGGGCAAUGAGUGUUCCUGCUACAGCUAAGCUUGAUUCCGGUGGAGUACGUGACGAACCGAAACCCUAAACCCGAAAAUUUCAACAGGGUGCAAUUCGCACUACUUCAUCUACAACGAGCUCACAGAUCGGGAAGCCGGAAACCCUAACAAAUUUCCACCAUUGGGUCAUCUAAUGUUGAAUUUCUCCCUACUGAGUGCACCAUGCCGCUAUGGUCUCCUCCAACAAACUGGAAGUUCAAAUCAAUUUAAAUUUUCAAAGAACAUGUCGCCUUUUUAUUACCUUUUUUUAUUCAAGUGCCAUUGCAAAUCAUUCUCGAGAAUUCCAUUUUUUACUGCUCAAGGGGAGGGAUAAAGUUCUUACGGGAUUAUGUGUUUACUUAAGCGUUUGGGACAUUGGUAAGGGUACGAGUCUAUGAAUGCAAGUUAUAUUGUUUGAAAGUACUUUUUUAAAAUGGCUGAAAGUGCUUCUUUCAAAAUACAGUUCAAGUGUUUUGGAGUCAUUUUAAAAACACUUAUCACUUCCAUUUGUCUUCUGUUUGAGCUGAU